rnacentral:lncRNA from 1 species
GUAGGGUGUGUAGUCAGAAAAUGUGUGUGAAAAUAGAGAGUAUCUUGUAAGGAAUUGACCAAAUUCUCUAAGGCAUGUUACUACAUUCAAAACAUUGUUUUAAUUGGUUAAUUGUGAACUAGUAAGUGAUGACUGUAAUUAAGUAUGUGCUCAAGUGUAAGGAUGACCAAAAUCUGUGGGAAUGAUGAUUUUUAACACGUCAUGUUUCAUUAAAAAGCCUUAAGGCAAUUGUUGGAAGGUCUAGGUUGUGUUUUGUUUUGUUUUGUUUUGUUUGUUUUGUUUUGCUCGAGGACUAGCAAAAGCUAAGUGUGGGGAAAUUUGAUAGGAGCAUAUUUAUGCGACUUAGUU